CGUAGGGUGCGAGCGUUAAUCGGAAUUACUGGGCGUAAAGUGUGCGCAGGCGGCGCUGCAAGUCGAGUGUGAAAUCCCCGAGCUUAACUUGGGAAUUGCGCUCGAAACUACGGCGCUGGAGUAUGGCAGAGGAAGGUGGAAUCCCACGUGUAGCGGUGAAAUGCGUAGAGAUGUGGAGGAACACCGAUGGCGAAGGCAGCCUUCUGGGCCAAUACUGACGCUCAUGCACGAAAGCGUGGGGAGCAAACAGGAUUAGAUACCCUGGUAGUCCACGCCCUAAACGAUGAUGACUAGUUGUUGGAGGAGUUAAAUCCUUUAGUAACGCAGCUAACGCGUGAAGUCAUCCGCCUGGGGAGUACGGUCGCAAGAUUA
rnacentral:rRNA from 1 species